rnacentral:rRNA from 1 species
GAUGAACGCUAGCGACAGGCCUAACACAUGCAAGUCGAGGGGCAUCGGGGCGUAGCAAUACGCUGCCGGCGACCGGCGGAUGGGUGAGUAACGCGUAUGCAACCUGCCUUCAGCAGGGGGAUAGCCCGUUGAAAGACGGAUUAAUACCCCGUAACACAGGGGCUCCGCAUGGAGAUUAUUGUUAAAGGGAUACUUCCUUCGGGGGGUAUUCCGGCUGAAGAUGGGCAUGCGUUCCAUUAGGUAGUUGGUUGAGGUAACGGCUCACCAAGCCUACGAUGGAUAGGGGAACUGAGAGGUUGGUCCCCCACACUGGUACUGAGACACGGACCAGACUCCUACGGGAGGCAGCAGUAGGGAAUCUUGCGCAAUGGGCGAAAGCCUGACGCAGCGACGCCGCGUGAGGGAAGAAGGGCCUUCGGGUCGUAAACCUCUGUCCUUGGGGACGAUGAUGACGGUACCCAAGGAGGAAGCCCCGGCUAACUACGUG